rnacentral:rRNA from 1 species
AGAGUUUGAUCCUGGCUCAGGAUGAACGCUAGCGGCAGGCUUAACACAUGCAAGUCGAGGGGCAGCAUGUCCAGCAAUGGAUGAUGGCGACCGGCGGAAGGGUGCGUAACGCGUGAGCAACAUGCCCUAUACAGGGAGAUACACCAGGGAAACUUGGUCUAAUAUCCCAUAGCAUUCAUUGAAGGCAUCUUUAAUGAAUUAAAGCUUCGGUGGUAUAGGAUUGGCUCGCGUGACAUUAGCCAGAUGGUGAGGUAACGGCUCACCAUAGCAAUGAUGUCUAGGGGUUUUGAGAGGAAGGCCCCCCACACUGGGACUGAGACACGGCCCAGACUCCUACGGGAGGCAGCAGUGAGGAAUAUUGGACAAUGGAUGGAAAUCUGAUCCAGCCAUGCCGCGUGCAGGAAGACGGCCUUAUGGGUUGUAAACUGCUUUUAUGCGGGAGCAAUAAGGGUUACGAGUAAUCCGAUGAGAGUACUGUAUGAAUAAGGAUCGGCUAACUCCGUGCCAGCAGCCGCGGUAAUACGGAGGAUCCGAGCGUUAUCCGGAAUUAUUGGGUUUAAAGGGUGCGUAGGCGGCCAUUUAAGUCAGCGGUGAAAUUUUGCAGCUUAACUGUAACAGUGCCGUUGAUACUGUUUGGCUAGGAUUUGGUUGUAGUGUGCGGAAUGUGUGGUGUAGCGGUGAAAUGCUUAGAUAUCACACAGAACACCGAUUGCGAAGGCAGCACACUAAGUCAUUAUUGACGCUGAGGCACGAAAGUGUGGGGAUCAAACAGGGUUAGAUACCCUGGUAGUCCACACUGUAAACGAUGAUAACUCGCUGUCGGCGAUACACAGUCGGUGGCCAAGCGAAAGCAUUAAGUUAUCCACCUGGGGAGUACGACCGCAAGGUUGAAACUCAAAGGAAUUGACGGGGGCCCGCACAAGCAGUGGAGUAUGUGGUUUAAUUCGAAGCAACGCGAAGAACCUUACCAGGGCUUGACAUCCCUCGCAAUGGGUAGAGAUACCCGGUUCCCUUCGGGGACGCGGAGACAGGUGGUGCAUGGUUGUCGUCAGCUCGUGUCGUGAGAUGUUCGGUUAAGUCCGGCAACGAGCGCAACCCUCGUGGCCAGUUGCCAUCAUUUAGUUGGGCACUUUGGCCAGACUGCCGUUGACAAAACGGAGGAAGGUGGGGAUGACGUCAAAUCAUCAUGCCCCUUAUGUCCUGGGCUACACACGUACUACAAUGGGCGCUACAACGGGCAGCCACACCGCGAGGUGGAGCGAAUCCCCAAAGGCGUCCCCAGUUCGGAUUGCAGGCUGAAACUCGCCUGCAUGAAGCCGGAAUUGCUAGUAAUGGCAGGUCAGCAUACUGCCGUGAAUGCGUUCCCGGGUCUUGCACACACCGCCCGUCAAG